ACAAAACCUUAACCAUAGGGAUCUUUUUUUAUCAUAAUUGCCUCAUCUGAAAGUCCACUAUGGCUAUUGGCUGCUCCUCGAAGGUUAGGUUUCCCUUCAACUCCACUGUAUCGAGUUGUAACACAUGGGAAUGAUCAGGUAUGUACUUCCUAAGCAUGGAAAUGCGGAACACUGUGUGGACGUGAGAAAGGAUUGGUGGUAACUCCAAUUGGCCAGCAACUAUUGCAACUAUAUCAAUAACCUCAGAAGGUCCUUUGUAUCUAGGUGGCAGCUUGCCUU
rnacentral:misc_RNA from 1 species